UACGGAGGGGGCUAGCGUUGUUCGGAAUUACUGGGCGUAAAGCGCACGUAGGCGGCUUUGUAAGUUAGAGGUGAAAGCCCAGGGCUUAACUCUGGAAUUGCCUUUAAGACUGCAUCGCUAGAAUCGUGGAGAGGUGAGUGGAAUUCCGAGUGUAGAGGUGAAAUUCGUAGAUAUUAGGAAGAACACCGGUGGCGAAGGCGGCCAUCUGGCUCGGUACUGACGCUCAGGCGCGAAAGCGUGGGGAGCAAACAGG
rnacentral:rRNA from 1 species